rnacentral:lncRNA from 1 species
CAAACCCCUAUCUAGUUAGUGUGCUUCUUAGAAUACAAAUAGAAUUACAAAAUGUUUCAGUAAUCAAAAAGGGACAGCAUCGGCAAACAGUUGACAUCAAAAUUGUCUGCUCAUCAAAGAGGAAUGACAGAUCCUCCUUCAUCAACAUGUUUUCCUUAGGAAUGGUGCCAGGAUGCAGGGCAUAAGUGAGAGGACAGUUCCCUUGGUUAUGAGGUAACUAAAAAUAGCCACCUUUGAAAGCCAUCAGAGGUCACUUGUUUUGAAGAAAAUCAUCAGAAGAACUUUGAACUAUAAGAUAUUGACUAUUAAAUCAUGUUAUUUUCUUCAUUUGUCAAAGUUAUUGGGAUGUAGCAAAUACUUGAGACUUUGAAUUGAGUAGAUUUUGAGUAGAUUUAUGAAUGAAAUCAAAGGACACACAAAAACAGUGUAAUUCACCCAUCUGGAGACUCCACGUAUGAGUUUGAAAACUUUUAGUAUGUAUGCCAAUUAGUCCAUCCAGCCAAAUAGGCACAACAAUUUUCCGAUAAUAAGAAAAAUAAGACCAAGAAGCUAGCUGGAAUACUAAGAAAAACAACAGAGGGAGUUAAAUUCUUCAUUAAAAUUGACCACUUCUAGAGGCCUUGCAGGAAAUAUUAAAAUAAGUUCUUCAAUGAGAAUGAAAAUGAUAUAGGUCAGAAACUUGGAUCUGCAUGAAGAUACACCUUAAAAAAGGAAGAGCAUCAGAAAAAUGAAUAAGUGAAGGUCAAGUGCUGUGCUGUACUGAUUGAUAGAUUGUCUCCAGCAGGAAGUUUGACAAUGGACAACCUAGAAGCAGAUGUGCCUGAUAAAUGUAAAUGGUAGCUUCUUUGUGGCCCUUCCACCAGAAGUGAAGAAGCCUGGUGCAGAGCUUCUACUUGACCUAUGAUAGAUAUGCUGCUGGAGAAGAAAUCAACCUCCUGGUUCCCACCCAUAUCUUGCUCUGGUUAGUCACAAUCAGAAUCUUCACAACCACAAUCAGAAUCUUCCCACAGCCCUACCUGCAACACCUGCUUGUCUCUGCCAUUACAAUAUAAGCCUGAGGACCUCAACAGAUGCACCUGCCCAAUCUUAAACUUUCCAGCAAUCUGAAUUGUGAGCCAAAUAAUUUUUUUAUAAAUUAUCCAGCUUCAAGUAUUAUACCAACAAAAAAAAGGAAAUGCAAUGAGUCAAUAUACUUACUGAGAUUGCAGAAGAGACUGAACACUGCGCUAGGCUCUGAAGAGAAAGAUGAAAAAGAAGAAAGUGCUCCUGAGUAUAUGACUACUUGUACUUGCUAGCACUGAGGCAAGUACAAACUCUAGGCAUCAGGCUUUUGGUCUCACUCUUAGCGAAUUUGAACACUGGCUUUUUUGUUGGGCUUCCAUUCUUCUCUCAGCGCAAGAAUACCAACGUUUAUGACCCAGGAAGCACCAACUUAUACUUCACAGAGCUAAGGUGGUCUGCAAAAUUUGCCUUCACAUUUGGAAGACUCAAAAUCUAAUUUUUGAAGGGGUAGAAAUUUGAAAUUGGAGCAAAACCAAAAUGAUAUCAAAGCAAGGCAGGUCCAGAGUGUGUGGAGCAGUUCCAAGACAGCAUCCUUGAAAGACCCAAGCAUCCCAAUAUGAACUCUCAGAGAAACAGAAGAGUUUUACCAAAUAUUUUGGCUCACUUUUAAUGAUAAAAGCAUCAGAAUUUGUGUUAGGCUUCAAAUAUAUACAUCAUUUAUGCUUCAUGUAUUAUCUGCAAGUUAGAAGCAUUUCAGAGAAAAAAAUAAGAACUUACCUUAACAUUCUAUUGGCCACACAGCUUUUCUGAGAAGAUUACAUUGAUUUGGGUAUGACAUCAAGAUGGUGAGACAUGAAAAUUGGCUAGCCAUAUGUAGAGACCUGAAACUGGAUCCCUUCCUUACACCUUAUACAA